CAAUUAAAACAAAUUAAUGAAGAACAUCUUGAAAUUUCAGAAUUGCUACAGAAGAAAACAAGCUUUCAAUAAAAUAAAAGCGAGAUCAAUCACACAUUUUACCCAUUUAUGAAACAUGCCCAGGGCAAGGUACUCAGACAUGGAGAAGCAUUCCCAGGAACCAUGGAGAACUGGACUUGGUAACAUGAGAGCUGGGAAGUCCUAAUUCUUGGUUAUGAAGAAUCUAGCACAAAGAGAAUUGGUUUGGAUACCAGAAGGCUAACUUUUACAUGAGGCACCAGGGCUAAUGCCCACAGAUUUCACACAGGACAAUAAUGGGUAUUUCUGAUGUUGAAAUCCUAGGAUUGAUCUGACAGCACAAACCAAAUGCCAGCAGUUUCCCUGGAGUUCUGCUGCAUGCUUUUGCCAUCCCUGCUGAUCCAGAGGACUUCACAUCUUGAGUUGCUCCUAUGGUGAAGGAACCACGGAGUUUCUCUGAGCACCUAAGAUUACUCUGCUUCAAGGAACUCCUGAGUGUGUGGACAGAAAAUAUCUCUGAGGGAUUCCCAGGAGCGACUCCAAUGAAAGACCAAGAACAACAGCGCUUCGGUGUUAAAGCCACAAGACCAAGAGCAGACACAGCAUCCAGAAGAAAACCUCUAUUGGCAAGCACAAGACAGUGAUCACAGAUGUGGCCCCAGACGAUGGAAGGACAGGAGUGCAGCACGCUGAAAUGGAAUACUGCACGCCUGCAAUCGCCUUUCCCUCUGGUAUUUAAUGAGAAAUAAAAAGCACAUGUGAAGGUUUUGUGAUCAUUUUA